rnacentral:rRNA from 1 species
GAUGAACGCUGGCGGCGUGCCUAAUACAUGCAAGUCGAGCGAAGAGACGAGGAGCUUGCACCUCUGACGUUAGCGGCGGACGGGUGAGUAACACGUGGAUAACCUACCUAUAAGACUGGGAUAACUUCGGGAAACCGGAGCUAACACCGGAUAAUAUAUUGAACCGCAUGGUUCAAUAGUGAAAGACGGUUUUGCUGUCACGUAUAGAUGGAUCCGCGCCGCAUUAGCUAGUUGGUAAGGUGACGGCUUACCAAGGCAACGAUGCGUAGCCGACCUGAGAGGGUGAUCGGCCCCCCUGGCCCCGCGCCACCGCCCCGACUCCUUCGAGAGGCACCCGUCGCGGCUCUUCGGCCUAGGGCGUACGCCUAUCGUAGCCAUGCCGCGUCUGUGACGGAGGUCUUGGGAUCGGUAGCCUGUUUUAUCAGCGGAGAACUGGUGUGAGGGUUACUGUGCAGUUCUUCACGUUACCUACUCAGUAAGCCACGGCUAACUACGUG